rnacentral:rRNA from 1 species
UGCCUGCGGAGGGAUCAUUA